rnacentral:rRNA from 1 species
UCCCGUAGCCAUACCGGAGUGGUCACACCCGUUCCCCUCCCGAACACGGAAGUUAAGCACUCCAGGGCCGAUGGUACUACGUGGGUAACUGCGUGGGAGAGUAGGACGCUGCGGGGA